UACGGAGGAUUCAAGCGUUAUCCGGAUUUAUUGGGUUUAAAGGGUGCGUAGGCGGUCGGAUAAGUUAGAGGUGAAAUCCCGAGGCUCAACUUCGGAAUUGCCUCUGAUACUGUUCGGCUAGAGAGUAGUUGCGGUAGGCGGAAUGUAUGGUGUAGCGGUGAAAUGCUUAGAGAUCAUACAGAACACCGAUUGCGAAGGCAGCUUACUAAGCCAUAACUGACACUGAAGCACGAAAGCGUGGGGAUCAAACAGG
rnacentral:rRNA from 1 species